rnacentral:lncRNA from 1 species
AGAGAGAGACGCUGAUUCAUGCUAGGAAAGCAACUUUGGGCCGAGGUUAAGGCCUUUUUGCGUGAAAGGACAAAAUUGGUUUCCUGAUUAUGAAAAAAACGUCAACCCCUCCCCCCUUAUCCUUUUGCGAGAAGGAUGAGAGGGUUGGCCUUGAUGUUGCUUCUGCUCAAAGAGCCAUGUUGCUUUCUUAAAAACAUCACCCCACACUGAGGAGCAAAAGCACUUAACCAACCUAGACUGUCUCGAUCUUAGAUACUUAGAAAACUUUGGAUGAGAUGAAAAGGGAAAUGUUUGUAUUUGUA